UACGUAGGGUGCAAGCGUUAAUCGGAAUUACUGGGCGUAAAGUGUGCGCAGGCGGCAGAGCAAGUCGAGUGUGAAAGCCCCGAGCUUAACUUGGGAAUUGCGCUCGAAACUACUUUGCUGGAGUGUGGCAGAGGAAGGUGGAAUUCCAGGUGUAGCGGUGAAAUGCGUAGAGAUCUGGAGGAACACCGAUGGCGAAGGCAGCCUUCUGGGCCAACACUGACGCUCAUGCACGAAAGCGUGGGGAUCAAACAGG
rnacentral:rRNA from 1 species